rnacentral:snRNA from 1 species
AGCUGCGUGGUGAGCACAAAGCGAACUAUUCUUUCGCCUUUUACUAAAUAAUACCGUGUAAUCGCCACAUCAAGCAGGGUGCUUU